GAGAAAAGGGCCUGUCCUGGGUGGUGGGGUUCCUUAAUAAUGGAUGGUGCCUUGCUAAGGCACCACUCCUUGAAGACGUCUUGGAUACUAUGGAGGUUCAUUAAAUCUUUAGAAUUCCUGUGCAGUAGUGAAGCUGGAGUUGCUGAAUUUCACAAAUGUGAAUUUCACAAAUCACAGAUGACUCUGCAAUUUGAAAUGACAUGGAGUAGCACACACAUGUGCUGGAAGUGCUCGGCAGGUGAGGCAGCAUUUAUGGAGGGGGAUAGUCGAUGUUUCGGGCCAAGACCCUUCACCAGGAGUAAAGAGUCACCAAAGGCUCUGAAACCAUCUGCUUGGUCUCCCAGUGUUCUCCACCAGCACCUCUUAGAAUCCUCAACCUUUACUUCUCCUUAAAAUGUUGCAAAAGCAAGUUACUAAUGUUACCCUGAUUAUUGACAGACAAAUAUAAUAUGUAUCAGGAAAGAUUUAAUAGGCAGAAUGCAUUUAUAUGGUGAUCAAAACCCAUAAAUUUAUCAUUUCUGGAUAUCUCAAUCACUCAUGUUCAAGUUCAAGUUUAUUGUUACAGGUAUACAUAUGCACACAGGGUAUAAAUGAUGGGAGAGUGGGGUGGGUGGUAGCAUGGGUGCAAACACACCCAGCCCUGAGACACCAGACAAGGCUGUUUGACACCACACAACUGGAAUAUUGAUCAUUACAGAAUGUCCCUCUGGUGCUUCCUGCUCCCACCCUUCUCCCUUCCCCUUUUCCCAACCAGGAUUCCCCUCUCCCUGCCCCCCUUCCCACUCCCAGUCCCCAGCAGAGACCCAUAUCAGAAUUAGGUUUAUCAUCACCCAUACACAUCAUGAAUUUUAUUUUUGUGUCAGCAGUCAGUACAAUACAUAAAUUUACUACAGUACCGUGCAAAAGUGUUAGGCAUCCUAGCUCUAUGUGUACCUUAGACUUCUGCACAAGGGUUCUAAAAGAGGUGGCUCAGGAAAUUGCGGAUGCAUUGGUAAUCAUUUUCCAAUGUUCCUUUGAUUCAGGAUCAGUUCCUGAAGAUUGGAAAGUGGCUAAUGUUAUCCCACUUUUCAAGAAGGGAGGGAAGGAGAAAACGGAGAACUAUCGCCCUGUUAGCCUAACGUCAGUCGUGGGGAAGAUGCUUGAGUCCAUUAUUAAGGACGAAAUAGUGGCACAUCUCGAUGGCAGAAAUAGGAUUAGGCCGAGCCAGCAUGGAUUUACCAAGGGCAAAUCAUGCUUGACUAAUCUGUUGGAGUUUUUUGAGGGUGUAACAAGGAUGUUAGACGAGGGUAAGCCAGUGGAUGUUGUGUACCUAGAUUUUCAGAAGGCAUUCGAUAAGGUGCCACAUAGGAGAUUGGUGAGUAAAAUCAGAGCUCAUGGCAUUAGGGGCAGGGUUUCAACAUGGAUAGAAAACUGGUUGGCAGAUAGAAAGCAAAGGGUAGCAGUGAAUGGGUGUUUCUUGGACUGGCUGGAGGUGACUAGUGGGGUACCACAGGGCUCUGUAUUGGGACCACAGCUCUUUACGAUUUAUGUCAAUGAUUUAGAUGAGGGCAUUGAAAACUAU